CGGUUACGUCCAGAGAGGUUUCGUAGUCCUGGCGUCAGGAUGAACGGCUGCGGCGUGCCUAACACAUGCAAGUCGAACGAAGCACGUCCCUCCGAGGGCCUUCGGGCGAGGGGGGCGAGUGACUUAGUGGCGGACGGGUGAGUAACGCGUGGGUAACCUGCCCUAUACUGGGGGAGUAACAGCUAGAAAUGGCUGCUAAUACCGCAUGAGCGCACAGUCCCGCAUGGGACAGUGCGGAAAACUCCGGUGGUAUAGGAUGGACCCGCGUCCGAUCAGCUGGUUGGUGGGGUAACGGGCCCACCAAGGCGACGAUCGGUAGCCGACCUGAGAGGGUGACCGGCCACAUUGGGACUGAGACACGGCCCAAACUCCUACGGGAGGGCAGCAGUGGGGGAUAUUGCACAAUGGGGGGAACCCUGAUGCAGCGACGCCGCGUGAGUGAAGGAGUACUCCGGUAUGUAAAGCUCUAUCAGCAGGGAAGAAGCAAGACGGUACCUGACCAAGAAGCCCCGGCUAACUACGUG
rnacentral:rRNA from 1 species